UGGCGGCAGUAGCGCGGUGGUCCCACCUGACCCCAUGCCGAACUCAGAAGUGAAACGCCGUAGCGCCGAUGGUAGUGUGGGGU
rnacentral:rRNA from 1 species